rnacentral:rRNA from 1 species
GAUGAACGCUAGCUACAGGCUUAACACAUGCAAGUCGCGGGGCAGCAUGGGGGUUGCUUGCAAUCCCCGAUGGCGACCGGCGCACGGGUGAGUAACGCGUAUCCAACUUGCCCUUCACCACGGGAUAACCCGGCGAAAGUCGGACUAAUACCGUAUGUUGUCCAUUGACGGCAUCCGAUUUGGACGAAAGGUUUGGCGGGGAGGGAUGGGGAUGCGUCCGAUUAGCUGGACGGCGGGGUGACGGCCCACCGUGGCGACGAUCGGUAGGGGUUCUGAGAGGAAGGUCCCCCACACUGGAACUGAGACACGGUCCAGACUCCUACGGGAGGCGGCAGUGAGGAAUAUUGGUCAAUGGGCGUAAGCCUGAACCAGCCAAGUAGCGUGCAGGAUGACGGCCCUAUGGGCUGUAAACUGCUUUUAUGCGGGGAUAAAGUGGCCCACGUGUGGGUUUUUGCAGGUACCGCAUGAAUAAGGACCGGCUAAUUCCGUG